rnacentral:lncRNA from 1 species
UUAAUCCACAGCUAGAUGCCUCAUUGGUUGCUGUAUCAGUGGUUUCAGCCACCCUGAGAGAGAGGUAACUAGGCAACUUCAGCUGGAGCAGAAAAAAGCGCUCAAAUCCUGAUACAGCUUAGCAAUGGGAAGGAUGUAGUCCAGAUUACAAAAUGUCCCUGGGACGGGAAAUGGGAUUACCCUUGUUUUAGAAAAAGCAUGGACCUUUGUAGACAUCAGCAUUGGGAGAUAAUUGGGUUUAAACAAUGCAAAGCAUGGAAGAUACAGAAUCACACAUCAGUAAAAAGAUGCUGUGGGAUUUACAGUGUGAAAUACAGACAGAUGGCCACAUGGUGCAUAUUUUGGAAAAAUAUGUCUUCAUUUCUUCCAUGCUGACACAAGGUCUGUAACAGUUAGCCAAGUGGAUAUACUAUUGUGAUUCCAAUAGGAAUAUAUUUUUAACAAGUUGUUGAUUUCCCCUUACAAAUUCAC